rnacentral:rRNA from 1 species
UACGUAGGGGCUAGCGUUAUCCGGAAUUACUGGGUGUAAAGGGUGCGUAGGUGGUUUCUUAAGUCAGAGGUGAAAGGCUACGGCUCAACCGUAGUAAGCCUUUGAAACUGGGAAACUUGAGUGCAGGAGAGGAGAGUGGAAUUCCUAGUGUAGCGGUGAAAUGCGUAGAUAUUAGGAGGAACACCAGUUGCGAAGGCGGCUCUCUGGACUGUAACUGACGCUGAGGCUCGAAAGCGUGGGGAGCAAACGGGAUUAGAUACCCCGGUAGUCCCUGAGCGGGCUGG